UACGUAGGGUGCAAGCGUUAAUCGGAAUUACUGGCGUAAAGCGUGACGCAGGCGGUUAUGUAAGACAGAUGUGAAAUCCCCGGGCUACAACCUGGGAACUGCAUUUGUGACUGCAUAGCUAGAGUACGGUAGAGGGGGAUGGAAUUCCGCGUGUAGCAGUGAAAUGCGUAGAUAUGCGGAGGAACACCGAUGGCGAAGGCAAUCCCCUGGACCUGUACUGACGCUCAUGCACGAAAGCGUGGGGAGCAAACAGG
rnacentral:rRNA from 1 species